rnacentral:piRNA from 1 species
UACGUACAUAACCUAAACCUACUCCAAUGCUA